UUGUGCACCUGCUGCAGACCGGCAGCAUGCAACUGGAAUUUGCUUCACACCACGCUGCAGUUCGACACCGCAGCAUGCAGG
rnacentral:tRNA from 1 species